GUCAGAGACACUGAGAGGGGGGUGUGUGCAUGCCACAUUUAGCCUCGCUGUUUACAGCCAGUUCAAGAUGCUGCCCCCACCCCCUUAGGCCCGAGGGAUCAGGAGCUAUGGGGCCAGAGGCCCUGUCAUCUUUACUGCUGCUGCUCUUGGUGGCAAGUGGAGAUGCUGACAUGAAGGGACAUUUUGAUCCUGCCAAAUGCCGCUAUGCCCUGGGCAUGCAGGACCGGACCAUCCCAGACAGUGACAUCUCUGCUUCCAGCUCCUGGUCAGAUUCCACUGCUGCCCGCCACAGCAGGUUGGAGAGCAGUGACGGGGAUGGGGCCUGGUGCCCCGCAGGGUCGGUGUUUCCCAAGGAGGAGGAGUACUUGCAGGUGGAUCUACAACGACUGCACCUGGUGGCUCUGGUGGGCACCCAGGGACGGCAUGCCGGGGGCCUGGGCAAGGAGUUCUCCCGGAGCUACCGGCUGCGUUACUCCCGGGAUGGUCGCCGCUGGAUGGGCUGGAAGGACCGCUGGGGUCAGGAGGUGAUCUCAGGCAAUGAGGACCCUGAGGGAGUGGUGCUGAAGGACCUUGGGCCCCCCAUGGUUGCCCGACUGGUUCGCUUCUACCCCCGGGCUGACCGGGUCAUGAGCGUCUGUCUGCGGGUAGAGCUCUAUGGCUGCCUCUGGAGGGGUGAGUGGCUCAGCUUCCUGGGAAUCUGUUUCGUGAGCAGGGGACUGGAGGGUGGGGAGUGUGGAGAAUGGGCAUCCAGGAUCCCUUCUCCUGCUGGGAAGCUGUCACUCUGAGGAGGGGGCUAGCCAGCAUUGUCUCCUCCAUGCCAAUGAGCCAGUGGAGAGAUACAAGAAGGGACCUGAAACCUGCCCAGGCCUGAUGCAGGGAUGGGGGA
rnacentral:sRNA from 1 species